GGAGUCAGGUUCCCAUAUGACAAAAGUAAGCAAGUGGGAGACUAAAAGACAGGAAAAUAAGAAGGGGUUCACUAGAUAGGUGAGAAGGGAGAAGACUGUGGGUGCUAGAGAAGGGGAACCGCACAGAUAGAGGAAAGAGCAUGGGCAGAGGGAUGAGGCACUGUUGUCCUUCGGUAAUAAGCUGGGCUAUUCCAGCUAAGGGGCUCUAAUGGCUGGCUCUGAUGCUGUAACUCAGAUAUCUGGGAGGCUGGAAACUGAGGCUGAUCUGCAGAGGAAUGGGCAAAGAAAUUGUGGUUUGUGUACACAGUAAAUUCUCUCUAACUAAAGGAGAAUGAAGAUGUGUCACUUUCUCAAGAAAAAUGGAUGUGUCUGUUAGUAGUCCUAGGAAGCCAAGAAAGUCAGCUUCAGAAAGUCAUGUCACAGGCCUUCUCUUCUCUGUGGCUCCAAGACUUUAUCUAGAUUUGUAAUAUCUUGUAUGUAUAGGUGACAAGAAAGUAGAAGUGAACUGGGGAGGUGGCUAAACACACUAAUGGGGAAAGAAAGAGAAGUUAGUGAGUGAAGAGAGGAAUAUGCUCAAAAUACAUUAUUUACUUGCAAAAAAUGCCCUAAAGUAACCCAAUACAAUGAAGUAAAAUACAAUCUGAAAGUUAUCUUUCUAAUAUUAGUUAUCUAUUAUUGCCUAAUCAAUUUCCCCAAAUUUGGUGUCCCAUAACAACGAAUGUUCACUUAUUUACUCCAUCCAGACUAGAAAAUAUCCACGUUAUAGCCAUCAGAAACUUGAGAAGCUGGCGAGUCAGUGACCAAGCUGGCUCUGUCACCCAUAUGUCAAUUGGAUGCUUCAGCUCAUUGCCAUGUGGCCUCAAGACACAGAGGCUAACCUAAUCAUCGCAAGUGUAUUUAGGCUGCAGAGUGACACAUUGUUAUGUCCAGACUGUUCUAUUGGUUUACACAGUCAGCCCUGCACUGUGAAAAAUGGGACUGUCUAAGGCAUCAGUGGAUGAAGCUAUUGGGAAUAUGGGAGAUAUUUGUCAAACUCCUGUGACUGUAGAGGAGAUGUUUCUAUCAUGAAUCCCAUAGUUCAAACGCAACGGCAGAGCUUACGUGUGAAGAGAACAUUCUGUGAUGGGAAGAAUUUGGUCCACAAGCAGAGAGCUGAGCCUCGACUCUGUUGCUGUGGAUGUCCUCUAGGGAGGUCACCUCACUUUGCAGGCUUCACAUUCCUCAUCUAUGAGGUCUGUCCAACAGGCAGAUUUCCUAGGAAAGACUGGAGAGGAACACGGGGAUCAGAUAUGGAGGGAGCUGUGAAUGCCAGAGGAAGAAGCUAAGAAGUUAUCUUGUAGACCAUCAGUGAGGCUUAACAGCUUUUAAACGUAGGGAAAUGGGGACAUGUGGAAUACUUUGGCAGAGGAUCUGUAUGCAGUGUAGAGAGUAAAGUAGAGGGAUUCAGACACAAAAUCCCAAUGCUCACAAAUGAGACCCAGUUUUGACUUCUGGUGAUGAGAAAGAAAUUACCUCACUCAAAACUGUAAUGGGUUUGAGGACCACGCAGUACCUUAUGAUCCCAUCUCUCUCUAGGCAGCAUUUCAAAGAAAAAAAGAGACUUAGUGUCAAAAAAUUAUAAGUAUUUAUUAUCCAUUUACCUUCUCUUGAAAUGACAUCUUGAAUACUAAAGAACUUCGUGGGUUUAUAGAAUAUAAUCCUUGCCUUAAACUCAUGAUGUACCCUGAAAGCUACGAAAACAACAGAAAGACUCACUCAUGCGUGGAGCAUUUGUGAUUGAUGGACCAGUGAGAUUGAAACGUGCAAAUGGAGAUGAAACAGACCAAGAUUAAACAUCUUUUGGGUAUA